ensembl:processed_transcript 4930404I05Rik RIKEN cDNA 4930404I05 gene
GCCCACGCGGGACCGUGCUGCCGAGCAGGGCGCUUACUGGUCACCGGGUUCCUGCGGCCGCCGCGUCCUGGAGAAUCUGCAGUACAGCCUUCCAAGCAUGAAUUUUAUAUAUGGAGAAGAAGACGUGGACGCUAUAGCAGGUUUUACAGCAUCUGCAGGGCUGGCAUAUGGUUCACCUGCAAAGAUGCUUGCCACCAAACCUCUGUGGAGCCACUCUCCAGAUCCCACUGGUGGGAGGAGAGAACCAAAACCUGGAAGCCAUCCUGACUGCCACACGGGCAACACGACACCCUCCGUAACUACUCUGCCUUACUUUGAAGAAACCCUGAAAUAUGAACAUCAGAAUUCUUGACUGGAUGAGUAAGUAUACAUCGCUGACUAAGAGGACAGACAGCAGGAGCCCCACCCCAAGGUUAUGUAGAUCAGGGAAAACAGAAGGGACGUCAACCAAGCUCCUUGUCCUGCUGCUGUGUGAACCAAGGCUUACAGAACACUCAGGCUGGCCCUGAGCUCAUUUGGAAGCCCAGGCAAGCCUUGAACUUUUGAGUGUCUCCUCCUGACUCAGCCUCCUAAUAAGCUGUGGUCUCUGCCUUCCUAGAAAAUUUUCAUGAAAACCAGACAUAAGUUGUUCCCAAACCAUCAUGAAAUGGCCUUUAGUCCACGGUAUUAUGGAUCAAGGUAUAGAGUGAAGGCUGGACUCUUAACACAAGGCUGUAUUUCAGUGGGUAUUCUUUCUACGUUUACAUCUACAUGAUGACACCUCAAAGGCCAAGGAUCACUGCACCUAAACCUGUGAAUCUAUUCAAUUCCUCAGGAGACAAAAUUACAACUAUUCACUGCUCUAAGACUUACCAUAAGUCUUUUUCUAAAAGCUUCCAAAUUUAAUGUAUAGGGAUAGCGGGAUACAAAUUAAAAAAAAAUGUGUAUCUUGGUAGUUUUGUAACACUAAAUAAAUGUACAAUGAAAGGG